AUACGUAGGGGGCGAGCGUUGUCCGGAAUGAUUGGGCGUAAAGGGCGCGUAGGCGGCCCGGUAAGUCUGGAGUGAAAGUCCUGUUUUUAAGAUGGGAAUUGCUUUGGAUACUGUCGGGCUUGAGUGCAGGAGAGGUAAGUGGAAUUCCCAGUGUAGCGGUGAAAUGCGUAGAGAUUGGGAGGAACACCAGUGGCGAAGGCGACUUACUGGACUGUGUCUGACGCUCAGAUGCGAAAGCCAGGGUAGCGAACGGGAUUAGAUACCCCGGUAGUCCUGGCCGUAAACGAUGGGUACUAGGUGUGGGAGGUAUCGACUCCUUCCGUGCCGGAGUUAACGCAAUAAGUACCCCGCCUGGGGGGUACGGCCGCAAGGCUUAAACUCAAAUGAAUUGACGGGG
rnacentral:rRNA from 1 species